rnacentral:rRNA from 1 species
GACGAACGCUGGCGGCGUGCUUAACACAUGCAAGUCGAACGGAAAGUCCCUGCUUUUGUGGGGUGCUCGAGUGGCGAACGGGUGAGUAACACGUGAGUAACCUGCCCGUGACUCUGGGAUAACUUCAGGAAACUGGGGCUAAUACCGGAUAGGAGCUCCUGUUGCAUGGUGGGGGGCGGAAAGUUUCGGCGGUUGGGGAUGGACGCGGGGCUUAUCAGCUUGUUGGUGGGGUAGUGGCCUACCAGGGCUUUGACGGGUAGCCGGCCUGGGAGGGUGACCGGCCACAUUGGGCCUGCGAUACGGCCCAGACUCCUACGGGAGGCAGCAGUGGGGAAUCUUGCACAAUGGGCGGGAGCGUGAUGCAGCAACGCCGCGUGCGGGAUGACGGCCUUCGGGUUGUAAACCGCUUUCGCCUGUGACGAAGCGUGAGUGACGGUAAUGGGUAAAGAAGCACCGGCUAACUACGUG